CACAGAGUAGUUCGAAAGCGUUAAGUGUCUAUUCAUGGGAUGUCGGAAUAGAACGAAUAUCGAUUUCGAUAGCGGUUUUCGAACGCGUCCGCUGGU
rfam:Coprobacillus sp. CAG:826 genomic scaffold, scf40